rnacentral:misc_RNA from 1 species
AAGUCGUAACAAGGUUUCCGUAGGUGAACCUGCGGAAGGAUCAUUCACACAAAGUCCAUAGCCUCGGCUAUGUGAUUUACAACCAAAAACUAAAACCAAACGCGAACUGUACAACCCUUUUUCAAAAUAACCAAAUGCCUUGUUACGCGGUAGAUGAAAGUCUAUGCGGUGUUCUUGGCGAGUUUACCUGUCGGCUGAUGAUGCUCUGAGCAAUCCGGGCUAGUCAGUUGUUAAUUUUGUUGUUAGUCCUAUAGCGGUGGAUUCCCUAUAGGCGGAAAUGUAGAAAUACGCAAUAUAUACAACUCUUUGCAAUGGAUAUCUUGGUUCUC